rnacentral:snRNA from 1 species
AGCUUUGCGCAGUGGCAGUAUCACAGCCAAUGAGGUUCAUCCGAGGCGCGAUUAUUGCCAGUUGAAAACUUUUCCCAAUACCCUGCCAUGACGACUUGCAAUAUAGCCAGCAGUGGCAAUUUUUGGUGGUCCCUAUGCAGA